rnacentral:lncRNA from 1 species
CCAGUGUGCGAACUCCCUGUAUCAUCCCAGAUUAGCAAUUUAUAGUCUCAGAGAGUGGGCUGCUUGAGUUAAGUGACUUCCUGAUGCCCAUGCAGAGCUUGAUCCCUGGUCAAUUCCAAAGCUGCCCCUGUAUUUCUCCAGCCUCUUGGCCUCUCAACCAGCUUUGAUGUGGGGCAAGUUCCUUUGUCUCUUUGCCCCUCACUUGCCGCCUUUGUAAGAUGCAGGUUUCCAAGUAGAUGAUUUGUUAGGGUCUUCCAGAGGUAGUAGUCUCAUCCCAGAGUUCCUAAGAACUCUGCUUUAUUGAAGAUAUUUUUUAGAAGAAUUUUCUUCAAAUACUGGUUGCUAGAAUGAGUCAGUCACAGGGAGAUUUUUGUCUCUAAACACUCAAAUGGGGCCAAGGACUACUCAUGUGUCUACACAUGUACAUACACACAGUACGUACACACACACACACACACACACACACACACACACACACACACACACUCACUCACGCUGUCUUCAGAUCCACUAAGCAGCCCUUGGAAGGUUAACCAUUUCUGCUGAUAGCAGUAUUCUGUGUCUUCUCUGGAUGGCCAGGGCUUCCCACGUAUAGCUCUAGUGCCCCCUGCUGUCCCUCAGAGAGAUUCUCCUGGCUUGAAUUCCGAAAGAGCCAUCUUUCAAGGCGAGUGAAACAUUCCUUCAUGUUACAGUAUUUAUUUGAUAGCCUCCAAAUAAUGGAAAUUGCAAGCCUCCCAGUAAUUUACCCUCAAAAGUGCUCCGCGCUCUGUGGGCAGUCAAUAAAUAAUGGUGACUGAGUGAACAAAGCCCCCCGCUAUUUCUCUGGUUUCCAGAAGUCGUUGUAUUUCUAGACAGAGUCAGCACUGGAUCAUGACCCGGAGGUAUAAAAUAGGCUGAGGAAAGCUCGGAAAUGCAUCUGAAUCAGUACUAAGCAUUGCUUCCAUGGCAGAAGAAUGAUAAGGACCAGGCAACUGGGGUGUGGAAGAGAGAAUUUGCAAUGCAUGCAAAGGACAUCAUCUGUCAAUCAAAAGGAACAUUCUAUUGGAAUGUUCCCAGGAGAAGCAGUUGGAGUCAAGCCAGCAGCUGAAGUGGGCUGGACUUACUUCUGACCUAGGCUGAGAGGUUUUUGGCUUCUGGAACUGGGGAGAGGCUUGUGAACUAAGUUUGGCUGCUUGUGGCUGAUGGUGAAGACCCUGAAGCUUUUGCUGACUGACUGAGGUUACCUGGCUGGCUAGAAGAAAAGAAGACAUACAGUUAUCCUAAUCUCUCUGACUGUCCCUGCUAGUGACUGAUUGCCAUUUUCCCAAUAUCCUCCUAAACCUCCUUAUAGAGAAGAGGGAAACCUAUCCCUCUUACCUUAUCUUCUACCCUUCUCCUGUCUUCCCCAAAUAAACCCCUUACUUGAGAAAUCA